GUUUUUACAAUAGUGCUGUAUAACAAACUGCCUAAAAGUCAAUGGCUUACAAACACCAGACAUGUAUGUUGGUUGAUCUCCUAGGGUUCUAUAUAUGUAUACCAGGCUAGAUAGGACUCCAGGGUAUGGCUCAGGUUCAGGUGUUCUCCACAUGUCUCCCAUUCUUCUGGCACCAGUGGAAUACCGAAUUAUGUUAUUUUUGCAUGGCCAAAAGCAGGAGUGCAAGAGACCAAGGCUAGCAGUGCAAACCAUUUUAAGUCUCUGCUUGAAUCAUGUCUGCUAACUUCCUAGCAACCAAACAAAUUGUAUGGUCAAGGCUAAAGUCUAGGGGCUAGGACAUACAUUUGGCCACCAUGACACCAGAAAUGUAGAUAUGUGAUAGUACUACACUCUGUAGUAUAGAGUGAAGCAUAGAGACUGAUAAUGUAAUCCAUUGUAAGGUCAGGGGAGUCCUUAUUGUCAUUUGAGUAAAGUGGGAGGUAAAGGAGAGGUGAAGGAGAGAAUCAUCUGGAUAUCUGGCGACAGAGGGACAGAGUGGUCCAGGCAGAGAUUACAGCAAACACAUCGUUUUUUGGAGAUGUUUAUGUCAUAAAAGGGUCAUUAGUUUUGGUUCUGAGUUCCCGGAUAGAAACCAUUAGUUAAAAAGAAGAGGCUGGGCGCGAUGGCUCAUUCAUACCUGUAAUCCCAGCACUUUGGGAGGCCGAGGUGGGCAGAUCACCUGAUGUCAGGAGUUCAAGGCCAACACGGUAAAACUGCAUCUCU
rnacentral:lncRNA from 10 species